rnacentral:lncRNA from 1 species
CUGGUAGAUUUCAAGUGCGAAAAAGUUCUGACUAUGAACUACUCAUAAAUCAGAGUCUGGGCUUAGGCAGCGAUGAAAGCCUUCUUCCCGCCUCCGGUGGUUCCAGCUGGAACGACCUUCAGGACAUUGAAUCUCACGGUUUUCGACAGGGGCCUGUUUCAGACACGAGCAACAUACUUCAGCACAAAAGAAAAUAAGCUUUCUGCAGUAAUCAAUACAUCAACUAUAUAAUGAUGAAUAGGAAUAUCACAGCAUGUAUGUAUCAGUAACAUAACUGCACAAGGGUCAACAUACUAGAACAACCAGGCUAACAUUCUCAAGUUGGAUAGUUAUGCAAGAGUAAUUGAGUUUUACCUGCACUGGCCAAUGAUGACAUGGUCGCCUUCCUUGACACGGAAGCAGGGGGAGAUGUGAGCUGGGAUGUUGGAGUGCCUCUUCUCAUACCUGCAAGGUGCACAAUUGAUUUUUGAGUUAGAAAUCCACAGGUUAGAACCAAUGCAUUAUGUUCUCAGAAUCAUCAAUGGGUUUACUUGCCUCUGAUACUUCUUCACAAAAUGAAGGUAGUUCCUGCGAACAAUGAUGGUCCGGUUCAUCUUGGCACUGUGGCAGGUUCCAGCUAUGAUUCUGCCCCUGAUGGCAACAGUUCCAGUGAAUGGGCACUUCUUGUCAAUGUAGGUACCUGGAAAUGAAUAGGAAUUAAUACACUGUCACAAGCUUAACAGAAAAUAAGGCACAAUUAACUAUAAACGGUUUAUGUCAACCACAGUAAUAGCCAGACAUUAGAAACAAAAUAUCAAGAAACAGUACAUGGUACAAUUCAUGGCUCAAUUGUUUCCACAUGACCAAAAGAAAAUCGGCUGUGUAUCUACCAAUGACAAUCACUAUACCAACUGAGAAUUUACUAGGUUCAAUUCUUUGUGUAGGCUAGGCUAGCAAAGCCAGGAGAAAUGUACUGAAGUGUGAUCUUAGGCACACAUAGUUGCAUUCAUCAAGACUAGCAUCACCUACUCAAGUAUCAAACAGUGCUAAAAUAGAAGGAAUGGCCUACUAUAGUU